GCUGAUUGCCUACAAAAUCUACACAAAUAUUACACAGGAUAAAUAUCACAGAUUUUAUUACAUAUUUGAGUGAAGGGAUCCUUCGUGUAGUAAAAGUGCAAGCAAACACAACUCUAGUGGAGCAAUGACUUCCCGAAAACGAAGCGGAAGUGGAUCUUCGAAGCGUCCUAAAGAAAAAGUUGUUUACAUUUACGAAUUGUUCUUUCGCGGAGAGGAUCCAACCACCGAGAGUACGGAAUUCUGGAAUGAAUUUUUUUUGUUACAACCCAAUGUAGAAUCACUUGAAGCUGAAAUAACAAAACUUACAUACGAGCAGUUUAUCAUAGUUAACAAAAAUCUGACCUUAAUAUUUCAGAAAAGCAUUGAAAUGAUGGAAACAGAUCAUCCGAAGCGACUUUUUAAUAGCCUGCAAACGCUCUGUUCGCUAUUUUAUGCAAUGUACAAAAAAUCAUCAACAGAUUCUUCAUUUAAUUGUUUAAAUGAAAUUUUUGGUAACGAACGAAUGGAUAAAAGUAUUCGACAGUUAAUGAACAACUGUAACCAAAUACUAUUAGGCGAAGUAGCAGAGAGAGCCCGUUUUAUGUGCCUGAAACUACUGCUAAUAAUUGUGACUGGUACUGACAAUAUCAGUCAAAAUGUUCUGCUGGAAUAUUUGACAACGUAUACCCUGUUUGAUGAUUUUGUACGUUUAUUGAGUGAUUCUACACUACGGGCACAGCAUGGCCAUGACGUUGUUAUUUUGUUGACUGUAUUAGUUAAUUAUAGAAAACAUGAAGCUGCUAAUCCUUAUGUGGUUCAGUUAUCUAUAUUAGCUGACGAAAUGGCUCUAAACGGCUAUGGCCAGAUGAUAUCACAAUCUUUGAUUGAUUUCUGUCGACAGUAUAUGCAGAGUUUAUCAAAUGUUCAGUCCUCAUCUUGGUUUUCAUCUUUAUCAAACAUUGUUGGAAAUAUGUUUGUGUCGGACGAAGGCUGUGAACGUGUCCAGCAAAUUAAAGCAAACAAUGGACUUUUACUAGCCUUAUACGAAGCGGUUCAUCUAAAUCGUAAUUUCAUAACUACUUUAGCUCACACUCAAGCUGAAACCAGUGCACCGCCGUCUCCUAGCAAUACCUUAAAUUUAGCAGAACCUGUGCCUGAUUUGGCUUCUGCUCCGAUAAUAGACAUGACACAAUAUCCAACUAACUUGCUAGUUGCAGUUUUUCAAUACUGUUCAAUUGUAAUGCAAGAUAACAAAAAUGAAUCCAGUGUCGCAAAUCUUAAGCUUUGUUUCCUUAUUCUAACAUGUAUAUCGGAGGAUCAGUAUGCAAAUUCAAUGAUGCAUGAUAGCAACCUCACAUUUAAAGUCAUGCUACAUCGUGCUCAAAUGCGUCAUCGCAAAUUAAAUAUUGAUAGGGUGGGCAAAUCUCAACCGUUGGCAGCCACAUUGCUCGAUCUAUUGGUUGAAUUUAUUGUUUCACAUUUAAUGAAGAAAUUCCCAAUGGAGUUAUAUUUACUUUGUGUUGGCGUUAUUCAUCGAAUACUUUGCUACCAAAAACGUUGCAGAGUUCGCUUGAAUUAUCCAUGGAAAGAACUKUGGUCGGCUUUAAUCGGAUUACUUCGCUUUCUUGUCAAUCAGGAGCAAACACUUGUGAAGAAAUGUAAUAUAUUUUAUUUAUCAGUUCAGGUGGUAAACAUUUUUAACUUAUUCAUUACAUAUGGAGAUACUUUCUUGGCAACAACGAAUAGCUACGAUGAAUUGUACUACGAGUUAAAUAGAGAAGAAAAAGUUUUUUCAGAGAUACACGCAUUAGGUAGGUGUUUGAUUAAAAAGACUAUACCAUAUCAUAGAGUAGAACAGUGGUCGUCAUUCUACAUAUUCAAACAUUUUAUUUUUAAACAGUGUGUGUUUGUGAGAGAGCUAUUAAGCUUGUCUAGUGCUAUAUUUUACUGUUUCUCUACCCUUUUCAGUUCAAGUAUAAAUAGCACCAUCAUAAACGUGCUUUGAGUAUCCUGUAUUUCCCACAUACAAUGGGAGUGUCAGUGGCUUCCUGAAUACUUAGCAAGACGUGUGCUAAGUGUAUUCGCAUUUUUUAUGUUGUUGUUCUUCCUGAUAUAGAACCGAACCUGUUCAAUUAUUUCAGCAAGCCUCUACCAAUUCAGUUUCGGAUAAUGUGUUAUGUAUUUUAAUAUUGGAUAGCUUAUGGUAAACAGCUACCAUAUAUUCAUAAGGUCUUUUUUUCUUUUGUCUUAUUAUUAUUUUUAACUAAAUAAUUAAAGCUCCCUUUCUUUUUCCCUACACCUCUCCAACUCUAUGUUCUAUAAUGACUUUCUAAAUUAUAAGCUCUGCAUGUUACUUAUCUCAUACUAACAAAUAGUAUUGCAUUCUAAACAUUCUAUAAAAAAGAAUCUAACAUCCACUCCAUAUUAGAAUGCUCGUGGGCUAUGGGGUGCCGAUAAUUGGAUUAGAACCACUGAACCGAUUACUUCACUCACUCGUACCAAUAAACAUUGCGACCAUGAGCAAAAUCAGACUAUAAUAAAAAUCGUUAAAUUCGGCAUACAUCAAGUAUGUAUAUUGCAUCCAAUAUAAAACGAGGUGGAGUUUGUUGUAAAAUGUCAGACGACGAGCACGAGUUUCCGUUAGAAUCGCGACUGGCCCUUGCGCAGAUUUGCUCUGGAUACUGUAGCGAGGUUAAAUUCCUAUUUAUCCAGAAUCGACAUCGACAUACCAAAUAUAUGCCCAGCAUGCAACGAUCCCCUACUUAACUCUAACYACCUCUUGUCUUAUCUAGCUAAUCCUUUACAUCUGACACCUCUCUCCCUAUGGUCCGAGCCCGUCGAAAUAACACGCUUCCUAAUUCUACGGUUGGAUGACCUUAAUGACAACUUAUCUGAGCCUUACCAAUAUAAAACGUAUUUCUUCUUCUAGUACUUUCUAGACAUGUUGCUUGAUAUAUGUACAACAACCUUCAGGUCGAUUUGAUAUUACUUAAUGAGGAGAAAAAACUUCAGGUCGAUUUGAUAUUACUUAAUGAGGAGAAAAAACUUUUAUGAAGACUUUUAUCUUGAUUUUGAAUGGCAGUUAUAUGUUAUUAUAGGCUGAUAUCGGCGGUUUCGACAAACGACUAGCUUAUCAGGCUGAUGAAUUAUAUAUUUUUACGUUAUACCACAAUGGCAGAUUGUGAAUAUAAAGAUGAUGUUAUAAAACUAUUGAAUGCGCUGGUAAAUAUUUUGGCUAUAGU